AAAAAAGCAGUGCCCUUUUGCCUUUUGUGAAGAGGGUUCUCGUAAAUUUCAGGAAAAUUAGUUGCAUUGUUAUUGGGUGAACCUAUGUAGUUUUUGGUUGCUGAUGGUUCAGUAAAUGAUGCUACAUAU